AGAGUACGGAGUUAUGGAUGAAAUACGAACACUGGUUUGGAUUACGACGAAACCGUUUUCCAGAUUACUAGCUUUGGGAAUAAAUUCGUUUGACCAACCAAAACUCAGUAUUUUUCAAUGAAAAUUUUUACACAACUACUACAACAUAUAAACAACACAAUCAAGCCAUUAAAUCCUCAAAUUUUUGCAUUAAAGUGACCGAACAGAGCAGGGGUAAAAUGGAAAUUUUUUGCUUCAAGAGCUCAAUGAAGUUUCUGGCGAUAAUGCACCUUUAAUCUACUCCCUUAAGCACUAAUUCAACAAUAAAACCAUCAUCAAACAUCAUCACAGCCAUCAACUCAAAGUGGGAGUUCAUAGAGCCCACAUUUAACAAUUUCUAACAAUAAUAAGCUACCCAUAAGCAUAAUCAAGCUCUUAAGUGUGAGUUGGCCUUCAAUGAACAAGAUUUGAAGUGUGGAUCAUGGUUACCUUACUUGUGUGCUAAAAGGUCAGAUUUUGGUGUCCAAAAGCCCCAAGAAAAACCGUGAAUGUGCAGCUCCUUCUUUGUCCAAGUGAUUGUCUAAGUGAAGAGCUAAGUGUGUGUGAAGUUUUGGUUGAAUUUGGUGGAGUUUGUAGAGGAAAUGGUGGAAGUUUUCGGUUGCUCUUUGCU
rnacentral:lncRNA from 1 species